rnacentral:rRNA from 1 species
GAACGGUAGCACAGAGAGCUUGCUCUCGGGUGACGAGUGGCGGACGGGUGAGUAAUGUCUGGGAAACUGCCUGAUGGAGGGGGAUAACUACUGGAAACGGUAGCUAAUACCGCAUAACGUCGCAAGACCAAAGAGGGGGACCUUCGGGCCUCUUGCCAUCAGAUGUGCCCAGAUGGGAUUAGCUAGUAGGUGGGGUAACGGCUCACCUAGGCGACGAUCCCUAGCUGGUCUGAGAGGAUGACCAGCCACACUGGAACUGAGACACGGUCCAGACUCCUACGGGAGGCAGCAGUGGGGAAUAUUGCACAAUGGGCGCAAGCCUGAUGCAGCCAUGCCGCGUGUAUGAAGAAGGCCUUCGGGUUGUAAAGUACUUUCAGCGGGGAGGAAGGUGUUGUGGUUAAUAACCGCAGCAAUUGACGUUACCCGCAGAAGAAGCACCGGCAA